rnacentral:rRNA from 1 species
GACGAACGCUGGCGGCGUGCCUAAUACAUGCAAGUCGACCUUAGUGGCGAACGGGUGAGUACCACGUGGGUAACCCGCCCAUCAGAAGGGGAUAACACUUGGACACAGUUGCUAAUACCGUAUACUGAUGGAUGGACCCGCGGUGCAUUAGCUAGUUGGUGAGGUAACGGCUCACCAAGGCCACGAUGCAUAGCCGACCUAAGAGAGUGAGCGGCCACAUUGGGACUGAGACACGGCCCAAACGCCUACGGGAGGCAGCAGUAGGGAGUCUUCGGAAAUUGACGAAAGUCUGACCGAGCAACGCCGCGUGAGUGAAGAAGGUUUUCGGAUCGUAAAACUCUGUUGUUAGAGAAGCGGUAUCUAACCAGAAUGCCACGGCUAACUACGUGCCAGCAGCCGCGGUAAGAC